GUGGGCUAUGGAGAUUACGUACCAGUAGGAACUUUAGGAAAACUGAUCGGUGGCUUGUGUGUGUUAUCUGGUGUUUUGGUCAUAGCAUUACCAGUUCCUGUCAUUGUCGCAAAC
rfam:Biomphalaria glabrata isolate BB02 unplaced genomic scaffold LGTN_random_Scaffold6484, whole genome shotgun sequence.